UACGUAGGGUGCGAGCGUUGUCCGGAAUUAUUGGGCGUAAAGGGCUCGUAGGCGGUUUGUCGCGUCGGGAGUGAAAACCUUGGGCUUAACUCAGGGCUUGCUUUCGAUACGGGCUGGCUAGAGUGUGGUAGGGGAGAUCGGAAUUCCUGGUGUAGCGGUGAAAUGCGCAGAUAUCAGGAGGAACACCGGUGGCGAAGGCGGAUCUCUGGGCCAUUACUGACGCUGAGGAGCGAAAGCGUGGGGAGCGAACAGA
rnacentral:rRNA from 1 species